rnacentral:snRNA from 1 species
AGCCUUGUGGUGAGUACAAAGCGAACUAUUCUUUCGCCUUUUACUAAAGAAUACCGUGUGUUCACCGUAUUAAAAGGCAUAUGUCAAUUUUUUGAAGGAUUUCUUCUUUAUUGAAGAU